UACGGCCAUAUCACGUUGAAACACCGGUUCCCGUACGAUCACCGAAGUUAAGCAACGUUGAGCUUGGUCAGUACCAAGAUUGAUGACUGUUUGAGAAUGUCAGGUGCUGUAAG